rnacentral:rRNA from 1 species
GAUGAACGCUGGCGGCGUGCCUAAUACAUGCAAGUCGAGCGAACAGACGAGGAGCUUGCUCCUCUGACGUUAGCGGCGGACGGGUGAGUAACACGUGGAUAACCUACCUAUAAGACUGGGAUAACUUCGGGAAACCGGAGCUAAUACCGGAUAAUAUAUUGAACCGCAUGGUUCAAUAGUGAAAGACGGUUUUGCUGUCACUUAUAGAUGGAUCCGCGCCGCAUUAGCUAGUUGGUAAGGUAACAGCUUACCAAGGCAACGAUGCGUAGCCGACCUGAGAGGGUGAUCGGCCACACUGGAACUGAGACACGGUCCAGACUCCUACGGGAGGCAGCAGUAGGGAAUCUUCCGCAAUGGGCGAAAGCCUGACGGAGCAACGCCGCGUGAGUGAUGAAGGUCUUCGGAUCGUAAAACUCUGUUAUUAGGGAAGAACAAAUGUGUAAGUAAUUAUGCACGUCUUGACGGUACCUAAUCAGAAAGCCACGGCUAACUACGUG